AUGAUGGUCGAAUCAGAUGUUCGUGGCUGCCUUUAUGAACCGCAAUAUAGCGAGCAGCGGCUGAGGCUGAACGGGAGGCGGCUGAAGCUUCUGCAGCCGAGGCAGAGGACCUGCCUGUCACGGACGAGGAGCCUGGACUGGCUCGAGCUGGGGUGGAUUGCUGGUGCCUGUGCUCUCGCUGUGCGCCUACGGACACAUGGACGUCUGACUGUAAACUUGCAGUUGCAUUGCUAACUACUGUGGCAUUCUGGAAUGGGUCCUGCAAGGCGAGAGAUUGGGUCGAGGCCAUCGUGCCGUUUUACCCGCUUAUGUGGUGCAGGCUAUCCGACAGAAAUAUCCAGCUCCAGAUGGCCAGUACUGCGGCACCAAGAAGUUGAGGACGCUCAGGAGGAACUACAACUGUCAUUGUUAACGUAUUUAUUUUUGUUGUUGUUGAUAUAUUUCUGUAAAUAAAUGGUUUACAUUCACGUUGUUGUAGUCCUUGAUAGUGUUAGUGGGAGCGGCUUGCGGAGCUGUGCAUUGUGGGAGUUGUUGUCUUUAAUACAAAUGCGCCCUAAAGUCACUUUCUGUCUUUUCUCAGUCAAAUAGGCACCAAAUUCAAAAUGUAUGUUACAUUUCGACUACAUGUAUAACCCACUUUCAAUAAAUAUUAAUGUUUCCACGGGUUAAGUGCUCCUUUAAGGAAAAAAUUAAUUGUAUCUGUUUUAUGUCUGUGACAUAUUCUACAGAUAUAGACAUUGAAACUGCAGUUAAAGGAAAGGAAAUGAACACAUUUUCACUGUUUUUGCUGACAAGGCUUGCAGGAAAAGUACACGAAACCUGGCUGCAGCCACUUCUGAGUCGCCCUACUCACUCUGGCUGUUUUUCCAGGCUGUAAGUUAAGGUGUAAAGUCAACACUAGAGGUGUAGUAAAUACUAGUUAGUUUGUAACUAAAUCAGCUACUAAAAUGGGAUGCAGCAGGAUUACUUGGGGCAUAAUCUUACUAGACAUUUGGAGAGUUUGGAUGUAAAGUUAUAACUAAGGCAAGUGGCCGAUCAAUCAUCAUCAUGGUUACUGUGUGCAUUAGUUCUCUCUGGAGGUCUGAAACUGCCAAAAUUGAAAAUAAAUAAAUACAAUUUUAAAAAGAUUGGGUCCAUAGUUACUCAUGUCUUCCUUAGGCAUCGUGCCCAAUUUCAGGUCAUCCCCACAAGGUGGUGCUCUUUAAAAUGAAAAAGUUUAUAUCUCUACAACGGUAUGUGUGAUUAAGAUGAAACUUGGUACGAUGCUUCCCCAUGGCUCCCUGAGGCUUGCUAAAAAAUGUGUCAACAAUCCACCACUAGGUGGCGCUCUGGUGGCAUGGUAAAUCACUGUGCGGAGACCGUAAUAGUUAUGAAUAUGAAAUUCACAGGUCACGUGUAGAGUGGUGCCUGAAGCUCACAUACCAAAAAUCGUGUUCGUCGUGUUUGUAGCGCCCCCUACAGGAUAAAAAAACAGCAGCCCCGGCGCAACAUAUCACCGAUAUGUACGAAACUUGGUAUGCAAGUGUAACAUGCCGGGACGUACAAAGAAGCCUCUUGGACCCAUACCCGAAACCCCACAGGAAGUCAGUCAUUUUGAUUUUAAUUUUCACUUUCGGCAAACUUUACGCGUUGUAUUUGAACAAACUCCUCAUAGGGAAUUUAAUAAUA
ensembl:lncRNA